AUACGGAGGGUGCAAGCGUUAAUCGGAAUUACUGGGCGUGAAGCGUACGUAGGCGGUCCGUUAAGUUAGAUGUGAAAGCCCCGGGCUUAACCUGGGAACUGCAUUUAAAACUGGCGAACUAGAGUUGAGUAGAGGGGAGUGGAAUUUCAGGUGUAGCGGUGAAAUGCGUAGAGAUCUGAAGGAACACCAGUGGCGAAGGCGACUCCCUGGACUCGAACUGACGCUGAGGUACGAAAGCGUGGGUAGCAAACGGGAGUAGAAACCCUAGUAGUCC
rnacentral:rRNA from 1 species